ACCGCCCGUCACGCCAUGGAAGCUGGAGGGACCCGAAGCCGGUGUGCCAACCGCAAGGAGCAGCCGUCUAAGGUCAAUUCAGUGACUGGGGCG
rnacentral:rRNA from 1 species